GUCUCCUGAGAUCCCUUAGGUCACCGUAGAUAGAUAGUCUUCUUCAGGAUUAGAAAUUGCAGAGAAAUCUGCAAGAAAAGAAUAUUGAAUUACAAAAUUUGGUCAGCUUAAACACUUGAGUGAAGCUGACUUACACAAUGAACUAUCUUUCUGGCCGAAGACCAGAUGCAAAUUCUCUGUUCUCCUUGUUAUUUACCAUCUCAAUGCAUGGAAGUACGAGUAAUCAAACUAUGUUUAGAUGAUGGAGUCGUCGACUGCACAGUACAUAGCUAGGGAGGGAAUCACCAAAAACAUGCCAUUUACUUGAGAGCUGGAUGUGAUCAUGCGAGGGACUAACCAACUGAAGAAGAGAACUACAGAAAGCUCUCUCCUCCAAUUUCCGUGUUCUAGAUUUAGGUGAUUACAUCAUGCAAGAAGGAUGAACUGCUUAUAGAAUUGGAAAUUUUCAACUAGACUCAGGAGGGCCGAGUACAUGGAGAUCCUCCUGCAUUCCGGUGUCUCAAUCAUGUUCAAACAUAUCACAGGUUCAUGUUCGUUGGAUCCAUGGGUUCACGGUUGCUACCGUGGCAUUCCUUUGGAGAGAUGAAUAUUAGUUCGUGUGCUCAGGUUGUCUAAUGCUUUGAAGAUGGUAAAUGUAUCCGCUUAUGCAUUAGGCAUCCGUUGAAUACAUAGUUUUUUUUUUUU